rnacentral:lncRNA from 1 species
UGUGAGCCUCAGAAUUAUCCCACCUCGCUUAACUUGGGAGGGGGAAGCCACUUUAAAAAGGAGAGCCACCCUUCCCCCAUUGGACUAGUCUUUUGGGGCGAUUGGGCCUUUCCCUGAGUUGGGUGUGGAUAAUGAACUGUUGGGCUCCAGGCAACCCUAAUUUGUUGGGCCUCAGCCAACCCCACCUGGGCUGGGUGUAUCAUCUAGUAUCAGAGCUAGGGCCCAUUUUAAGAAGGUGGGAAUGAUGAGGACAUCCUCCACUAUUACCCGUUGGCAAAGACGCAAUUGGCCCAGUUGGCCCAAUUGUAGUCGGACGGUGACCGUGUGAGCCUCAGAAUUAUCCCACCUCGCUUAACUUGGGAGGAGGAACCCACUUUAAGGGAGAGUCACCCUUCCCCCAUUGGACUAGUCU